UUAAAGGGAAUUUGCGACUGUUGGUAAAACCAUUAGGACAGCCACACCUUCCUUUUAAGAU
rnacentral:pre_miRNA from 1 species